rnacentral:lncRNA from 1 species
GCCUGUUGCCAGCUUGCUCUGUGGUCAUCCCGACCCUCCCUGGCCUCUCCUGGGCUGAGGUGGGCAGGCUCCCGGCUGCACCACGGGCAGGUGCCCUAACCCAGUCUGUGUUGAUUUGGCCAACUAAAGCCACCCUUGAUUUCGUCUCAUGCUCAGGCUGCCAGGCCCCUUUCCCGACACGUGGGGAUUACAAUUUGAGAUGAGAUUUGGCUGGGGACACAGAGACAAACCAUAUCACCUCGAGUAUGCGUGCUCUGCGUGCAUGUGUGAGGUGAUAUGGUGUGGCUCUGUGUACUUGUGCAUAUGAGUGUGUGCAUGUGAUGUGUGCAUAUGUAUGUGUGCAUGCAUAUGUAAAUGCACUUGUAUGUGUGCAUGCAUGAUGUGCACAUAUGUGUGUGGGUGUGUGCACAUGUAUACAUGUAUGCUUACACAUGUGUGCAUAUAAGAGUGCGUGCAUGUGAUGUAUGCAUAUGUAUGUGUGCAUGCACAUGAGUACAUAUGUAAAUGCACUUG